UCAGGUGGGACCACCGCGCUACUGCCGCCAGGCAAAUUCUGUUAUCAGACCGUUUUUACGUUCUGAUGUAAUCUGAAUCAGUGCUGAAAAUCGUCUCUCAUCCGCNNNNNNNNNNNNNNNNNNNNGAAUCAGUGCUGAAAAUCGUCUCUCAUCCGCCAAAACAUCUUCGGCGUUGUAAGGUUAAGCCUCACGGUUCAUUAGUACCGGUUAGCUCAACGCAUCGCUGCGCUUACACACCCGGCCUAUCAACGUCGUCGUCUUCAACGUUCCUUCAGGAGACCUAAAGUCUCAGGGAGAACUCAUCUCGGGGCAAGUUUCGUGCUUAGAUGCUUUCAGCACUUAUCUCUUCCGCAUUUAGCUACCGGGCAGUGCCAUUGGCAUGACAACCCGAACACCAGUGAUGCGUCCACUCCGGUCCUCUCGUACUAGGAGCAGCCCCCCUCAGUUCUCCAGCGCCCACGGCAGAUAGGGACCGAACUGUCUCACGACGUUCUAAACCCAGCUCGCGUACCACUUUAAAUGGCGAACAGCCAUACCCUUGGGACCUACUUCAGCCCCAGGAUGUGAUGAGCCGACAUCGAGGUGCCAAACACCGCCGUCGAUAUGAACUCUUGGGCGGUAUCAGCCUGUUAUCCCCGGAGUACCUUUUAUCCGUUGAGCGAUGGCCCUUCCAUUCAGAACCACCGGAUCACUAUGACCUGCUUUCGCACCUGCUCGCGCCGUCACGCUCGCAGUCAAGCUGGCUUAUGCCAUUGCACUAACCUCCUGAUGUCCGACCAGGAUUAGCCAACCUUCGUGCUCCUCCGUUACUCUUUAGGAGGAGACCGCCCCAGUCAAACUACCCACCAGACACUGUCCGCAACCCGGGUAACGGGUCCACGUUAGAACAUCAAACAUUAAAGGGUGGUAUUUCAAGGUCGGCUCCAUGCAGACUGGCGUCCACACUUCAAAGCCUCCCACCUAUCCUACACAUCAAGGCUCAAUGUUCAGUGUCAAGCUAUAGUAAAGGUUCACGGGGUCUUUCCGUCUUGCCGCGGGUACACUGCAUCUUCACAGCGAGUUCAAUUUCACUGAGUCUCGGGUGGAGACAGCCUGGCCAUCAUUACGCCAUUCGUGCAGGUCGGAACUUACCCGACAAGGAAUUUCGCUACCUUAGGACCGUUAUAGUUACGGCCGCCGUUUACCGGGGCUUCGAUCAGGAGCUUCGCUUGCGCUGACCCCAUCAAUUAACCUUCCGGCACCGGGCAGGCGUCACACCGUAUACGUCCACUUUCGUGUUUGCACAGUGCUGUGUUUUUAAUAAACAGUUGCAGCCAGCUGGUAUCUUCGACUGACUUCAGCUCCAUGAGUAAAUCACUUCACCUACGUGUCAGCGUGCCUUCUCCCGAAGUUACGGCACCAUUUUGCCUAGUUCCUUCACCCGAGUUCUCUCAAGCGCCUUGGUAUUCUCUACCUGACCACCUGUGUCGGUUUGGGGUACGAUUUGAUGUUACCUGAUGCUUAGAGGCUUUUCCUGGAAGCAGGGCAUUUGUUGCUUCAGCACCGUAGUGCCUCGUCGUCACGCCUCAGUGUUAAAGUGAACCGGAUUUACCUGGAACACACACCUACACGCUUAAACCGGGACAACCGUCGCCCGGCCAACAUAGCCUUCUCCGU
rnacentral:rRNA from 1 species